rnacentral:rRNA from 1 species
UGGGGAAUUUUGCACAAUGGGGGAAACCCUGAUGCAGCGACGCCGCGUGAUUUAGAAGGCCUUCGGGUUGUAAAAAUCUUUUCUAUGGGAAGAAAAUGACAGUACCAUAGGAAUAAGGACCGGCUAAUUACGUGCCAGCAGCCGCGCUAAUACGUAAGGUCCGAGCGUUGUCCGGAAUCAUUGGGCGUAAAGGGUACGUAGGCGGGUAAGCAAGUUAGAAGUGAAAUCCUAUAGCUCAACUAUAGUAAGCUUUUAAAACUGCUCAUCUUGAGGUAUGGAAGGGAAAGUGGAAUUCCUAGUGUAGCGGUGAAAUGCGCAGAUAUUAGGAGGAAUACCGGUGGCGAAGGCGACUUUCUGGCCAUAACCUGACGCUGAGGUACGAAAGCGUGGGUAGCAAACAGG